AAUCAACGCUGGCGGCGUGCCUCAGACAUGCAAGUCGAACGAUUAAAGCUCUCUUCGGAGAGUGUAUAGAGUGGCGCACGGGUGAGUAACACGUAAGUAAUCUACCUUCGAGUGGGGAAUACCGUCCGGAAACGGACGCUAAUACCGCAUAAUGCAGCGGCAUCGUAAGAUGACAGUUGUUAAAGAUUUUAUCGCUUGAAGAGGAGCUUGCGGCAGAUUAGCUAGUUGGUAAGGUAAUGGCUUACCAAGGCUACGAUCUGUAACCGGUCUUAGAGGACGGUCGGUCACACUGACACUGAAUAACGGGUCGGACUCCUACGGGAGGCAGCAGUCGGGAAUUUUGGGCAAUGGGCGAAAGCCUGACCCAGCAACGCCGCGUGAAGGAUGAAGUAUUUCGGUAUGUAAACUUCGAAAGAAUAGGAAGAAUAAAUGACGGUACUAUUUAUAAGGUCCGGCUAACUACGUGCCAGCAGCAGCCGCAAGU
rnacentral:rRNA from 1 species